GGUUAAGUUGGUAAGGGCGCACGGUGGAUGCCUUGGCACUAGGAGCCGAUGAA
rnacentral:rRNA from 1 species